rnacentral:rRNA from 1 species
GGCGGGCUACUAUACAUGCAAGUCGAGCGAAUGGAUUAAGAGCUUGCUCUUAUGAAGUUAGCGGCGGACGGGUGAGUAACACGUGGGUAACCUGCCCAUAAGACUGGGAUAACUCCGGGAAACCGGGGCUAAUACCGGAUAACAUUUUGAACCGCAUGGUUCGAAAUUGAAAGGCGGCUUCGGCUGUCACUUAUGGAUGGACCCGCGUCGCAUUAGCUAGUUGGUGAGGUAACGGCUCACCAAGGCAACGAUGCGUAGCCGACCUGAGAGGGUGAUCGGCCACACUGGGACUGAGACACGGCCCAGACUCCUACGGGAGGCAGCAGUAGGGAAUCUUCCGCAAUGGACGAAAGUCUGACGGAGCAACGCCGCGUGAGUGAUGAAGGCUUUCGGGUCGUAAAACUCUGUUGUUAGGGAAGAACAAGUGCUAGUUGAAUAAGCUGGCACCUUGACGGUACCUAACCAGAAAGCCACGGCUAACUACGUGCCAGCAGCCGCGGUAAUACGUAGGUGGCAAGCGUUAUCCGGAAUUAUUGGGCGUAAAGCGCGCGCAGGUGGUUUCUUAAGUCUGAUGUGAAAGCCCACGGCUCAACCGUGGAGGGUCAUUGGAAACUGGGAGACUUGAGUGCAGAAGAGGAAAGUGGAAUUCCAUGUGUAGCGGUGAAAUGCGUAGAGAUAUGGAGGAACACCAGUGGCGAAGGCGACUUUCUGGUCUGUAACUGACACUGAGGCGCGAAAGCGUGGGGAGCAAACAGGAUUAG